GUCAGCCCAUAAGCUAAGGACCCAUGACCUUAGGAAGGGGUAUUCUAAAAAAAAAAUCAGAUUUUUUCCAUUCUGCAUUUUCCUUUAUCUCUCUAGACAGAGCUCUUUUCUUCCUAAGAAGGUGCUCUGCCUUCUCUCUAAAAGAUCCAGACACUGAACCGUCUAAAAUUUAAUUCGAAGGUGCCUAAACGAUCGCGGUCACAAGGGCUUUAACUUGAACCAAACAAUUUCUUAUUCCAACUAGUAAGUCCUAUUUCCCCUUCUCUUUCACUGUUCUAGAACCUAGGGCAUGCAACUUUGUUGGGUUCAUGUUCCUAAUGUGUUUUUCCUUCCAUUCUCUGCCUAUCGAGCUCUAAGAGUUGUGUUCUAUCACCAAUUCGGUGAUUUGUAGGUUCUGUAAGUUCAAUGCUGAGUGGGUUCCUGUUAGGGCGUUUUCAAUUUGCUACUUUUAAAGAAAACCAGGUAAGGGGAGCUAAUUGUUUUGUUUGAAUAUAUUUUAUAAAAUAUAUACAUGUUGAUUUCUUAAACUGAUGUGUUGAUUUGAAUUGAUAUUUAUAUGUUUGGUAUGAACUAAAGUUUGAAAAUGAUGAAUUUAUUGUCUGUGAAAUUGUGCUUAAAUAUUGUGCGUUUAAAUAUUUGACUGGUAUAUGUGGAUUGAAUAUAUAAGUUGUCUCUUUGAAUUGAUUUGCUGAAAUUGAUCUUUGAUUUGGGGUGGUGUGUGUGGGUGAGACCUAAUGAGGAGAGCAAGAGAGAGUUGCUUGGGAGCUAUGUGUUGGGUGUGUGUGAUCAUGGGUGAAGAAGAUGAAAGAAAAUUGGUUGCAGUGACGGGAUUGAGGUGAAAUUNUUAAAUAAAGAAAAUAGAAUAGAAAGAGGAUGUAGUACGAAAAAAAAAAAAAGAAGAGAAAGGGAGCAAAGUAUGUGUGCAGUGCAUGUGGAGUUGCCUAAUAGAAAUAUAAAAGUGACAUAUAUAUAUAUAUAUAUAUAUAUAUAUAUAUAUAUAUAAUUAUAUAUCUAUAUAUAUAAUAUAUUAUAUUUAGGAUUACGUAUAUUAUAUAUAUAAUAUUAUGUUAAGUGUUAUAUAUAUUAUAUAUAAUAUUAUGUU
rnacentral:lncRNA from 1 species